UGGGGAAUUUUGGACAAUGGGGGAAACCCUGAUCCAGCCAUCCCGCGUGUGCGAUGAAUGCCUUCGGGUUGUAAAGCACUUUUGGCAGGAAAGAAACGUCAUGGGUUAAUACCCCGUGAAACUGACGGUACCUGCAGAAUAAGCACCGGCUAACUACGUGCCAGCAGCCGCGGUAAUACGUAGGGUGCAAGCGUUAAUCGGAAUUACUGGGCGUAAAGCGUGCGCAGGCGGUUCGGAAAGAAAGAUGUGAAAUCCCAGAGCUCAACUUUGGAACUGCAUUUUUAACUACCGGGCUAGAGGGUGUCAGAGGGAGGUGGAAUGCCGCAUGUAGCAGUGAAAUGCGUAGAUAUGCGGAGGAACACCGAUGGCGAAGGCAGCCUCCUGGGAUAACACUGACGCUAAUGCACGAAAGCGUGGGGAGCAAACAGG
rnacentral:rRNA from 1 species